rnacentral:miRNA from 1 species
AGGUGGAGAUGCCGUGGA